rnacentral:sRNA from 14 species
ACCGGUCUUCGGUCAAGGGUAUACGAGUAGCUGCGCUCCCCUGCUAGAACCUCCAAACAAGCCAUCUCUGUUUCCAAACCUGCAUGUGUGUGCACC